rfam:Colletotrichum gloeosporioides Cg-14 contig01828, whole genome shotgun sequence.
UCCGAUAUGGUGUAGUGGCCAACAUGAUGCCCUCUCAUCCCUGAUGCGAGGUUAGGCAUAGCCCCGAGUUCGAUUCUCGGUUUCGGAA